AUUGCACAAUGGGCGAAAGCCUGAUGCAGCGACGCCGCGUGGGGGAUGACGGCCUUCGGGUUGUAAACCUCUUUCACCAUCGACGAAGGUCCGGGUUUUCUCGGGCUGACGGUAGGUGGAGAAGAAGCACCGGCCAACUACGUGCCAGCAGCCGCGGUAAUACGUAGGGUGCGAGCGUUGUCCGGAAUUACUGGGCGUAAAGAGCUCGUAGGUGGUUUGUCGCGUUGUUCGUGAAAUCUCACGGCUUAACUGUGAGCGUGCGGGCGAUACGGGCAGACUUGAGUACUGCAGGGGAGACUGGAAUUCCUGGUGUAGCGGUGGAAUGCGCAGAUAUCAGGAGGAACACCGGUGGCGAAGGCGGGUCUCUGGGCAGUAACUGACGCUGAGGAGCGAAAGCGUGGGGAGCGAACAGGAUUAGAUACCCUGGUAGUCCACGCCGUAAACGGUGGGUACUAGGUGUGGGUUUCCUUCCUUGGGAUCCGUGCCGUAGCUAACGCAUUAAGUACCCCGCCUGGGGAGUACGGCCGCAAGGCUAAAACUCAAAGAAAUUGACGGGGGCCCGCACAAGCGGCGGAGCAUGUGGAUUAAUUCGAUGCAACGCGAAGAACCUUACCUGGGUUUGACAUGCACAGGACGCCGGCAGAGAUGUCGGUUCCCUUGUGGCCUGUGUGCAGGUGGUGCAUGGCUGUCGUCAGCUCGUGUCGUGAGAUGUUGGGUUAAGUCCCGCAACGAGCGCAACCCUUGUCUCAUGUUGCCAGCGGGUAAUGCCGGGGACUCGUGAGAGACUGCCGGGGUCAACUCGGAGGAAGGUGGGGAUGACGUCAAGUCAUCAUGCCCCUUAUGUCCAGGGCUUCACACAUGCUACAAUGGCCGGUACAAAGGGCUGCGAUGCCGCGAGGUUAAGCGAAUCCUUUUAAAGCCGGUCUCAGUUCGGAUCGGGGUCUGCAACUCGACCCCGUGAAGUCGGAGUCGCUAGUAAUCGCAGAUCAGCAACGCUGCGGUGAAUACGUUCCCGGGCCUU
rnacentral:rRNA from 1 species